rnacentral:rRNA from 1 species
CCUGCCAGUAGUCAUAUGCUUGUCUCAAAGACUAAGCCAUGCAUGUCCAAGUAUGAACGCUUCGUACUGUGAAACUGCGAAUGGCUCAUUAAAUCAGUUAUAGUUUAUUUGAUGGUUGCUUGCUACAUGGAUAACCGUGGUAAUUCUAGAGCUAAUACAUGCAGAAGGUCCCGACUUCCGGAAGGGACGUAUUUAUUAGAUCCAAAACCAGCGCGGGUGUCCCCUCGGGGUGCCCGGUCCCUGGGCGAUUCAUGAUAACUGCUCGAAUCGCACGGCCCUGGCGCCGGCGAUGGUCCAUUCAAAUUUCUGCCCUAUCAACUUUCGAUGGUACGGUAGUGGCCUACCAUGGUUGCAACGGGUGACGGAGAAUUAGGGACCGAUUCCGGAGAGGGAGCCUGAGAAACGGCUACCACAUCCAAGGAAGGCAGCAGGCGCGCAAAUUACCCAAUCGGGACUCGGGGAGGUAGUGACAAUAAAUAACAAUGCCGGGCUCUCGUAGUCUAUCAAUUGGAAUGAGUCCAAUCUAAACCCCUUAACGAGGAACAAUUGGAGGGCAAGUCUGGCGCCAGCAGCCGCGGUAAUUCCAGCUCCAAUAGCGUAUAUUAAAGUUGUUGCAGUUAAAAAGCUCGUAGUUGGAUUUCGGGGCGGCUGGGUCGGUCCGCCGCGAGGCGAGCACUGGUCGGGCGCCCUUCCUCUCGAAGGCUUCGACUGCUAUUCAUUGCGGAGGUCGAGGAGUUCGGGACGUUUACUUUGAAAAAAUUAGAGUGUUCAAGGCAGGCCGUCGCCUGAAUACAUUAGCAUGGAAUAAUGGAAGAGGACCUCGGUCCUAUUUUGUUGGUUUCCAGGGCCGAAGUAAUGAUUAAGAGGGACAGUUGGGGGCAUUCGUAUUCAAUUGUCAGAGGUGAAAUUCUCGGAUUUAUGGAAGACGAACAAGUGCGAAAGCAUUUGCCAAGGAUGUUUUCAUUAAUCAAGAACGAAAGUUGGGGGUUCGAAGACGAUCAGAUACCGUCGUAGUCCCAACCAUAAACUAUGCCGACUAGGGAUCGGCGG